UGGGGAAUAUUGGACAAUGGGGGCAACCCUGAUCCAGCAAUGCCGCGUGUGUGAAGAAGGUCUUCGGAUUGUAAAGCACUUUCGACGGGGACGAUGAUGACGGUACCCGUAGAAGAAGCCCCGGCUAACUUCGUGCCAGCAGCCGCGGUAAUACGAAGGGGGCUAGCGUUGCUCGGAAUGACUGGGCGUAAAGGGCGUGUAGGCGGUUUACACAGUCAGAUGUGAAAUCCCCGGGCUUAACCUGGGAGCUGCAUUUGAUACGUGUAGACUAGAGUGUGAGAGAGGGUUGUGGAAUUCCCAGUGUAGAGGUGAAAUUCGUAGAUAUUGGGAAGAACACCGGUGGCGAAGGCGGCAACCUGGCUCAUGACUGACGCUGAGGCGCGAAAGCGUGGGGAGCAAACAGGAUUAGAUACCCUGGUAGUCCACGCUGUAAACGAUGUGUGCUAGAUGUUGGGUAACUUUGUUAUUCAGUGUCGCAGUUAACGCGUUAAGCACACCGCCUGG
rnacentral:rRNA from 1 species